rnacentral:rRNA from 1 species
AGUGGCAGACGGGUGAGUAACGCGUGGGUGACCUGCCUUCGAGUGGGGGAUAACGUUCCGAAAGGGACGCUAAUACCGCACGACAUGCUGUCUUUCAAGAGACGGACAUCAAAGCCGGGGAUCGCAAGACCUGGCGCUCGAAGAGGGGCCCGCGUCCGAUUAGCUAGUUGGUGGGGUAAUGGCUCACCAAGGCUACGAUCGGUAGCCGGCCUGAGAGGGCGGACGGCCACACUGGGACUGAGACACGGCCCAGACUCCUACGGGAGGCAGCAGUGGGGAAUUGUUCGCAAUGGGCGCAAGCCUGACGACGCAACGCCGCGUGGAGGAUGAAGAUCUUCGGGUCGUAAACUCCUUUCGAUUGGGACGAAUGGCCUUCGGGUGAACAAUCCGGAGGCGUGACGGUACCGAGAGAAGAAGCCCCGGCUAACUCCGUGCCAGCAGCCGCGGUAAUACGGGGGGGGCAAGCGUUGUUCGGAAUUACUGGGCGUAAAGGGCUCGUAGGCGGCCAACUAAGUCAGACGUGAAAUCCCUCGGCUUAACCGGGGAACUGCGUCUGAUACUGGAUGGCUUGAGUCCGGGAGAGGGAUGCGGAAUUCCAGGUGUAGCGGUGAAAUGCGUAGAUAUCUGGAGGAACACCGGUGGCGAAGGCGGCAUCCUGGACCGGCACUGACGCUGAGGAGCGAAAGCCAGGGGAGCAAACGGGAUUAGAUACCCCGGUAGUCCUGGCCCU